rnacentral:rRNA from 1 species
UUUGAGUUUGAUCCUGGCUCAGAUUGAACGCUGGCGGCAGGCCUAACACAUGCAAGUCGAGCGGAUGAUGGGUGCUUGCACUCUGAUUCAGCGGCGGACGGGUGAGUAAUGCCUAGGAAUCUGCCCGAUAGUGGGGGACAACGUUUCGAAAGGAACGCUAAUACCGCAUACGUCCUACGGGAGAAAGUGGGGGCUCUUCGGACCUCACGCUAUCGGAUGAGCCUAGGUCGGAUUAGCUAGUUGGUGGGGUAAAGGCUCACCAAGGCGACGAUCCGUAACUGGUCUGAGAGGAUGAUCAGUCACACUGGAACUGAGACACGGUCCAGACUCCUACGGGAGGCAGCAGUGGGGAAUAUUGGACAAUGGGCGAAAGCCUGAUCCAGCCAUGCCGCGUGUGUGAAGAAGGUCUUCGGAUUGUAAAGCACUUUAAGUCGGGAGGAAGGGCUGUAAGCGAAUACCUUGCAGUUUUGACGUUACCGACAGAAUA